AAUUUAGGUCCCAAGGAUUCAUGAUCAUUAAACACUGAUUCAUCUUGAAAGAAUCUACAAAAUAUGCAGUGUUCAAGGAGGCAAAACAGAAUUAGAGACAAGACAGAAGCAUGUUCUCAUGUCAUGUUCUCAUGGAGAGUGGCUAUCUUUCUGAAUUGGAAUCACCUGAUAACCCACUCAACUAGCUCAUUGACUAGACGAUUAACAGCUGACAGAAACAUCUACCAUUUGGGGGGCUGCCCAUAUUUUCAGCCAAUUUUCUCUCUCAGCCAUACACCUGGAAGACUUGAUACACCUAUCAGCUCAGCACAGAUAUUAG